CCUACGGGUGGCUGCAGUGGGGAAUUUUGCGCAAUGGACGAGAGUCUGACGCAGCAACGCCGCGUGGGUGAUGAAGGUCUUCGGACUGUAAAACCCUGUCGUCAGGGACGAAGGUGGCAGGAUUAAUAAUCCUGUUACUUGACGGUACCUGGAGAGGAAGCCCCGGCUAACUCUGUGCCAGCAGCCGCGGUAAUACAGAGGGGGCAAGCGUUAUUCGGAAUUAUUGGAGGCAAUUGUUGAGGUCAGGGUUGUAAUCCCCGGGCUCAACCUGGGAACUGCAUCUGAGACUGGAAGGCUAGAGUACUGGAGAGGGUGGUGGAAUUCCUCGUGUAGCGGUGAAAUGCGUAGAGAUGAGGAGGAACACCAGUGGCGAAGGCGGCCACCUGGACAGUAACUGACGCUGAGGCGCGAAAGUGUGGGUAGCAAACAGGAUUAGAUACCCCAGUAGUC
rnacentral:rRNA from 1 species